rnacentral:lncRNA from 1 species
UGAUGAUGAAGAUAGAAGAACCAGGGAUAUUUCCAGAUGAUGCAAAGUUGGAUAAAAAUGUAUUGCUAUAUCUGAGGCUGUGCAGCCAGAAUCCCCCAAGGGAAUCCCUUGGGUAGCUACAUCAGGUAUAACAACUUCAAAUAGCAGAAUGGAGAGCUUGGUUGUUUGGAAUAUUUUGUUCUACGUCAUUUUUGCAUAUACUUGCCUUGGGCUUUACUUUAUCAACUGUUACAUCUCUCACAUAAUGGGAAAAAGGAAGGGUAGGUAAUAUGAAUAGAACACAGGCUCACAAGUUGGGUCAGGUCCCCCGUAAACCUGGUUGCGCUGUAUCUGUUCACUUCACUUGUGUCUCUCCCAACACUGCAGCUGUGGAUUCAUAGGCACAGGUGCAAGGUCCAUCUCUCUCCUUGAGUAGGUUGUUCUUCUCACUGCCUGGAGAGAACACUGAAACAUAUUUUACUGUGCUCACAUGUAGCCACAAUAACACUAAUUUUAAAAAGAUUGUUAUCAUUUCGACCCACUACAGAAGCAUAAACUCAGGAAAUAUGUUCAUGACUGAGAAUGCAGAAGUACCUCAAAGAUUUCCUUUUUUUUGUGAACAACAAUAACAAGCAUUUCUGGAGUACUUUUUACAAUAGAUGCAAUAACUGAAAGGAUAGCCAUUCUAAUGUGAACAUUCUCAGGAUGGUCACAAAUAAAACAAGACAUCUUUACAGAGAAAACUGUAUUCAUAUUUAAUAUGUUUGGCCUUUUAUUCUAUAAUCAUUCACUUUUAAUAUCACUUUAAAUAAUAACAGUCUUCUAAAAGUUCCAGAACCUUCCCAGAGAGUGCUUCCAUCUAGGAACCAAGUGUUCAAGCACAUAAGCCUAUGGAGGACAUUUAAACAUCAAACACAAGGUUUCAGUUUCUGGGUAUUGUUGCAACAACAGCAGCAGCAGCAGCAGCAGCAACAACAACAACAACAACAUUAAAGCAGACCUGCGAUAAUGUUAGACAAGUUUAAGUGGUCAUUUGUUGUUUGCUGAGGACUAUCUGGAAAAAGAAAGUAAAUCACGAUUCUUAAAUUAAAUCUUGCUUCCUUCCUAUUAAGUCUAUCAUAAGAGACUUUCCUGAGAGCAGCAGUGUCAGUGUUCAUUCGUUUGUGCCACCAGACUAUGUUCUCCUUCUCAGUGUAGCCAGCAAGCGUAGACUCGAAGCACCCACAGUUUAGGGAGUGGCAGGGUAGUUUUUCUUUGUAACAUCAGUCUGUAUGUACAUGUGUGUGUAUGUACAUAUGAAUGUAUGCUGUUUAUAUGUACGUUAUGUAUAUGACUGCUGUCUGCAUGGAUGCCAGCCUGCCUGCCAGAAGAGGGCUUCAGUUCCCAUUAUAAACAGUUCUAAGCCAUACUAUGUGAUUGCUGGGAAUUGAACUCAGGACCUCUGAAAGAGCAGCCAGUGCUCUUAACCUCUGCACCAUCUCUCCAGGCCCAACCUUAUCUUUAGAUAGAACACAACUCUGCUCUACUCCCCCUUUCAGGCCCAAUGGUGUCAUUGUGCACUAGAACAUUCAUCAUCAUUCAUCAUCAUUGUGCACUAGAACAUUCAUCAUCAGGUAACAGGACUCAGACCUUCAUUUAUUUGAUUUUAGACCCACCGUCUGCCAAGGCAGGAACAAAAGGAUAAUUUGAUAUCAACACUCAAUCAGUGGAGAAUUAUCUUUUACAUGGUAAUAUGCAUGCUUAUCUAGAGUGAAAUUCCAGGUAAAAUGCCGAGUUCAUACUGGAUGGGGGGAAAAGCAUAAAUUGUUGUUUUCUUGCACUCUCUCUUCGUUCAAUAUCUGAAAUUUACCAUAUGGAAACUUCUGGGCUGGUUCCUGGUCUCUUUCUCAUAUAUGCUCUAUGCCUUCCUGAUAAUCUAGGCAAAUUCAUUUUCAGAAAUAGUCACAAUAGUAACAUAAUGUUGGAAUUCAUGCUUAUAUGUUACAACUCGACACAUGCUACAUUCCUAAUGAGCUCUAAUUGAUUUUAUGCCAUUUUCAAUCAAGGAAAGGUUUAAAACCUUUAAAAUGAAACAACUGGAAAAAUAAUAGUAUUUUGCACAUUGUAAAAGCAAAAUAGAAAUAGACACCGGAGAUAGAAAUGAAAAUCAUGUGCAGCAUUCAAAAUGAGUGGUUGAUAUUUUUUAUUGAAUUAGAAGAAAUUAGAAAAACUGUAGACGCUCAAAAAGAAAAGCAUAAGCCACAGUUAUCAAAUUAGCAAUGAAUGGACCAGAAGAAAGGAAGCUUGGGAGAGAUGGCAGAACUCAGAAUAUUAUUAUCUUUUAAAAUUGGAAUUGACAUAGACAGAAGAAGAACAUGAACAAAGAGUUCAGAAGGAUAAUCUUUUAAGAGUAUUAGAAAAUGAAAAUAAAAAGGAAUUUCAAAAAAGUAGAAGAGAUUAAAAUGGUUUCUAAAAAGUGGCUGGGCAGUGGUGGCACACACCUUUAAUCCAAGCUCUUGCGAGACAGAGGCAGGCGGAUUUCUGAGUUCGCGGCCAGCCUGGUCUACAGAGUGAGUUCCUGGACAGCCAGGGCUACACAGAGAAACCCUGUCUUGGGAAACCAGUAUAUAUAUAUAUAUAUGAAAACACCAUAUAUAAUCAUGAAUCUCUGGAGUGACACAGGGAAACCCUCACUGCAAAUGGUACAACAAAGACGAACAGAAAACAAUUAUGUGGUGAGCUUCUGUAUCAAAAAAUAUGUCCUUGGGAAAAAUUAAUAACAGUAAUGAAGUAUUUACUUAAAAAUGAAAUAGAGAAGUAUAUCAUUAGACAUUGUGGUUUCUAAGCAGCGUUCUCAGUACAAGAACCAGAAGUGCAGCGAAAAGGGGUCGUGGUUGAAGCUGGACAAGUUACUCAAAGGCUAAAGCAUGGAGGGAAUCAGGUCCAAGUAGGACAAUGGGCCAGUGCCCAUGGACACCACCUGAGAGCAGGAGACAGUCCUCUCUCCCCAAGGACCUAUGGUGCAAACUGAACCACAAUGAUCGUUCAUACCCAAUGGCUUCUGUCAUCUUUCAAAGAGAAAAGCGUCUGUCCUUCUAAUUUCCACUCUAACUUCUAGGUCUGACUUCCGACUGAAAGGGACUCAGCGAUUUUGAAAUGUGUGACUAAUUACUGUUGACUGGAGUCAUCUGUCACAUUGGAUGUCUACAUUUAAGACCCACUGUUACUCCCAACCUAACUUUGCAUCCUUGAGGACUACUCCCCAUUAUCAACAUCUACUCCUCAGCUACAAAAUCUGGAGGCCACUCUAGUGUCCACGUGACUCCUGGCUGCUACCAUGUGACUCUCUACGUCUGCAAUUUCAGCUCUUGUAGGUUUUUUAAAAAGUAGAUCCUGUUUGACGCAUGAAACCUUACACAAUGAGCAUAUUCUCUUGAUUUAUUAUUCUUCAGUGCACACUAAUUUCAUCCUAUCACCUUGUACUCCAUGAAUACAUGCAAUAACUCCCAAAGCAAAAUAAAGAUGAUAGACAAAGAAGCUGUCAUUGAAUGAGUUUUAGUGAUUUCCUGGCAAUCCUAAUAAAUCUGUGUGUUCUAUCAUUUAUAUCUUACAACACUAUGAGUUACUUUUUUUUUUUUUUUGGUUUUUUAAGAAAGGGUUUCUCUGUAUAGCUCUGGCUGUCCUGGAACUCACUUUGUAGACUAGGCUGGCCUUGAACUCAGAAAUCUGCCUGCCUCUGCCUCCUGAGUUCUGGGAUUAAAGGUGUACGCCACCAUGCCCAGCGAGUUACCCAUUUUUUAUUAUCUGUUUCUGUGAGAGGUAAGUCAGCGUCACGUUAUGGCUGCCUAAUUCUACACCCAAGAUCUUAUCUGUUACAGUGUGAUUUUUUUUUUCUAUGUGGCUAUUAAAGAAUUUGAAAAUUUGUACUCUGUGGGAUAUAUAUAGAUAUGUGUCAUUAACUUUUAUGAUUGUAGAUACUACAUGUACAAAAACUCAGGUCACUGGAUUCGCUCUGAAAAGAUUAUGCUAGUGAAGGAAAGGCUACCUACCCCCUUAGAAUGAUAUAAAUACUGAGUUUGCCACAGUCUCCACUCACCACUCCUGUCUUUCACAGCCCAGUGUUUCUUCCUUGUUUUCUUCCAAUGCCACACCAAGCAUUUAACUAGCUGGACCAGUCAGACCUCAUUGCUUUCAUUGGUGUAUAUGUGUGCUAUAUGAAUGCAAGUGCCUGUAGAGUCCAAAAGACGUGGUGUCAGAUACCCUGAAGCUGAAGGUAGAAGAGCGGGUAAAGGCCCUCAAAAUAGGUUCUGGGAACUGAACCUGGGCCCCCUGGAAUAGCAGCAAGCUAUCUUAACCAUCACUCUGGAUCCCAUAUUCUAUAUUAUUGGCAAAACAGUUAUUCAUCUGCAGGUCUUCUCUAUACAAUUAGACUAUAAUCCUCAAGAAAUAAUAUCCUGGGCUGGAGACAUGGCUCAGCAGUUAAGAGCACAUGCUAUUCUUGCAGAGGUCAUGAUUCAUUUCUCUGAACUCAUAUACAGCAGUUUACAACCACCUGACACUCCCAAUUCCAGGAAGAGCUGAUGCCCUUUUCUGCCCUCCACAAGCACUUUUAUAUAUGUGUACACACUUACAUACUGGC